AGUGAACGCUGGCGGUAGGCCUAACACAUGCAAGUCGAACGGCAGCACAGUAAGAGCUUGCUCUUACGGGUGGCGAGUGGCGGACGGGUGAGGAAUACAUCGGAAUCUACUUUUUCGUGGGGGAUAACGUAGGGAAACUUACGCUAAUACCGCAUACGACCUACGGGUGAAAGCAGGGGAUCUUCGGACCUUGCGCGAUUGAAUGAGCCGAUGUCGGAUUAGUUAGUUGGCGGGGUAAAGGCCCACCAAGGCGACGAUCCGUAGCUGGUCUGAGAGGAUGAUCAGCCACACUGGAACUGAAACACGUUCCAGACUCCUACGGGAGGCAGCAGUGGGGAAUAUUGGACAAUGGGCGCAAGUCUGAGCCAGCCAUACCGCGUGGGUGAAGAAGGCCUUCGGGUUGUAAAGCCCUUUUGUUGGGAAAGAAAAGAAGCAGGUUAAUACCCCGCUGUUCUGACGGUACCCAAAGAAUAAGCACCGGCUAACUUCGUG
rnacentral:rRNA from 1 species